rnacentral:tRNA from 1 species
GUUAAGAUGGCAGAGCUCGGCCAAAUGCAAAAGACCUAAGCCCUUUAAACAGAGGUUCAAAUCCUCUUCUUAACU